rnacentral:sRNA from 1 species
UAGCCGAAGGUCACUUCGGUAUAAUAAAAACGAUGAAAUUCCUCUUUGACGGGCCAAUAGAAAUAUUGGCCAUUUUUUU